rnacentral:lncRNA from 12 species
GCCAAGGUUAAGUUCUUGAGUUCCCGAUGCCGCGCAGCGGGGAAUGGAAUUUUCUCCAAGGCCUCAGGUCCCUGAGACCGGACAGGCUGCCCGAGAGGCGAGACCACAUAAGGCAGCUGGGCUUCCCGCGAGGCAACCCGCAAGCGGUGCCUAGGAAGGGCGCCGCUGAGGUCGGGAGCGCUUCUCUCUAUGGCUCUACGCGGCUAGAAGUGCCCAGAGGAGUUUUUUUAAAAGCGGCUCUACAGACGACCCGGAAGCGGAAGUGGAAGAAAGUUCUAGUGAGUUUGAGAUAUCGGUGGGAGCAGCCGGGUGGCGGUAGGAGCCGUUACGGGAGCCGGAGCUGCUGAUUAAGCUGAUCAAGAUGACAACCUCCCAAAAGCACCGAGACUUCGUGGCGGAGCCCAUGGGGGAAAAGCCAGUGGGGAGCCUGGCUGGGAUUGGUGAAGUCCUGGGCAAGAAGCUGGAGGAAAGGGGCUUUGACAAGGCCUAUGUGGUCCUUGGCCAGUUUCUGGUGCUAAAGAAAGAUGAAGAUCUCUUCCGGGAAUGGCUGAAGGACACAUGUGGUGCCAAUGCUAAGCAGUCCCGGGACUGCUUCGGGUGCCUUCGAGAGUGGUGCGAUGCCUUCUUGUGAGGCUCUCUGGAUAGCCCCCAGUCCCAAGCCCCAGCAUGGAGUCUCCCGAGUUUGCAGCCGCGUGGGAACUCCUCCCCUGUCCUCUACAAAGGAAGAGAUUGCUAUUGUUGUACUCACUUCUGAUGUACUUCAAGGUCUUUGGGAGUUCUCUUCCUCUCACCAUUUCAACUUUUUUGAAAUUCUCACUCUUGCAUGCAUCUCCCCACUCCUUCCCCCUGCCAGUUUCAUGUCAACAAUUAUCAGCUUUACCGAGUGAGUUCCUGGCCCUUCCCUCACCCCCACCCCCACUAGUCUGGUCUGUUUUAUGCUAUUUGGCUCCUUUUUUGGCAGAACAGUCACUGUCCUUGUAAGGUUUUUUAAAUCAAUAAAGUCAGUGGCCUUCAUG